UACGUAGGAGGCAAGCGUUGUCCGGAAUUACUGGGCGUAAAGCGCGUGUAGGUGGUGGGACAAGUCUGCUGUGAAAGCGCCUGGCUUAACCGGGCGAGGUCGGCGGAAACUGUCCGACUAGAGGACGGUAGAGGGGGGUGGAAUUCCCGGUGUAGUGGUGAAAUGCGUAGAGAUCGGGAGGAACGCCUGUGGCGAAGGCGGCCCCCUGGGCCGGCCCUGACACUGAGACGCGAAGGCGUGGGGAGCGAACGGG
rnacentral:rRNA from 1 species